rnacentral:rRNA from 1 species
UUACGGGAGGCAGCAGUAAGGAAUUUUGGACAAUGGGCGCAAGCCUGAUCCAGCAAUGCCGCGUGAGUGAAGAAGGCCUUCGGGUUGUAAAGCUCUUUUGUCAGGGAAGAAACGGCGAGUUCUAAAACAGCUUGCUAAUGACGGUACCUGAAGAAUAAGCACCGGCUAACUACGUGCCAGCAGCCGCGGUAAUACGUAGGGUGCAAGCGUUAAUCGGAAUUACUGGGCGUAAAGCGUGCGCAGGCGGUUUUGUAAGUCUGUCGUGAAAUCCCCGGGCUCAACCUGGGAAUUGCGAUGGAGACUGCAAGGCUAGAAUCUGGCAGAGGGGGGUAGAAUUCCACGUGUAGCAGUGAAAUGCGUAGAUAUGUGGAGGAACACCGAUGGCGAAGGCAGCCCCCUGGGCUAAGAUUGACGCUCAUGCACGAAAGCGUGGGGAGCAAACAGGAUUAGAUACCCUUGUAGUCC